UACGUAGGGUGCGAGCGUUGUCCGGAAUUAUUGGGCGUAAAGGGCUCGUAGGCGGUCCAUCGCGUCGGGAGUGAAAAGCUGGGGCUUAACCCCAGUCCUGCUUUCGAUACGGGCAGACUGGAGUACUGCAGGGGAGACUGGAAUUCCUGGUGUAGCGGUGGAAUGCGCAGAUAUCAGGAGGAACACCGGUGGCGAAGGCGGGUCUCUGGGCCGAUACUGACGCUGAGGAGCGAAAGCGUGGGGAGCGAACAGG
rnacentral:rRNA from 1 species